rnacentral:rRNA from 1 species
CGAACGGGUGAGUAACACGUGGGUGAUCUGCCCUGCACUUCGGGAUAAGCCUGGGAAACUGGGUCUAAUACCGGAUAUGACUACGGAUCGCAUGGUCUGUGGUGGAAAGCUUUUGCGGUGUGGGAUGGGCCCGCGGCCUAUCAGCUUGUUGGUGGGGUUAAGGCCUACCAAGGCGACGACGGGUAGCCGGCCUGAGAGGGUGACCGGCCACACUGGGACUGAGAUACGGCCCAG